GCGCACCAGGGCGAAACUUUACAAUGUGCGAAAGCACGAUAAGGGAACUCUGAGUGCCUCCUAAGGAGGCUGUUCAGGUGUCUAAAAGCACCUGAAGGAAGGGCUGGGUAAGACCGGUGCCAGCCGCCGCGGUAACACCGGCAGCCCAAGUGGUAGCCACGUUUAUUGGGUCUAAAGCGUCCGUAGCCGGCUGGGUAAGUUCCUUGGGAGAUUUGGCUGCUUAACAGUCAAGCUUUCAGGGAAUACUGCCCGGCUUGGGACCGGGAGAGGUCAGAGGUACUCCAGGGGUAGGGGUGAAAUCCAUUAAUCCUUGGGGGACCACCGGUAGCGAAGGCGUCUGACCAGACCGGGUCCGACGGUGAGGGACGAAGGCUAGGGGCGCGAACCGGAUUAGAUACCCCCGUAGU
rnacentral:rRNA from 1 species